UACGAAGGUGGCAAGCGUUACUCGGAAUUACUAGGCGUAAAGGGCAGGUAGGCGGUUUGAUGAGUCUGUUGUGAAAGCUCCCGGCUUAACUGGGAGAGGUCAACAGAUACUGUCGAACUUGAGUAUGGGAGAGGGUGACUGGAAUUCCUGGUGUAGCGGUGAAAUGCGCAGAGAUCAGGAGGAACACCGAUGGCGAAAGCAGGUCA
rnacentral:rRNA from 1 species